AUGAAAGUGUUCCUUGUGUGCAUACGAAUGUCUGCCUCCUUUGAGGGAUUUCUCUCUGACUGUCAGAUGAAAUGGGAACAAAUCAAUCAUCUGUCACCUGUCGUGUUCGAUACAGCAAGCUUUAUCUCUUACAGAUUCAGUUUAAAAUGCUUGUUCCUGAUACAUGACGAGCAUCUGCAUUUGGCCAAACUGACAUCCAGAAACAGAAUCAAUGGAAGAGCUGGAGGUGCUGUACUUGAUGAAUGUGAUCAGGGCUACUGUUUUCAUCCCAACACAUGCUUCUGCAAUGCUUUUCAGAGUGGGUCCUGCCUUCCCUUCUGUCUGGAAAUAACCAACACUCUGUGCUACAGGUUACACCAAUUUCACUUAGACUACAAGACGAAGAUUUCCUGAAAAUUGAGAUCUUCAGUCCUUGUUUGCUGGAGAUGGCCAUGUAAAGUGCAUACUUACAGCUGACAUAAUACGUAAGUCUUUAUACUUUCUCACAUUUCUCACAUAAUGGGGUGGGGACUGUGCAUAUUUUUACUUCUAAUACAGACUAGUACAAUGCGAGUGAGCAGUUCAUGUAUUUAUGAGUAAGAGAAAAAUCCACUAAUACGAUAGCCAUUUGCAAAACAUAUGAAGUUAGUGUUUAAAACUUUCAGUGCAGCAUUCCA
rnacentral:lncRNA from 1 species